rnacentral:lncRNA from 1 species
ACGUGUAGUUCAAAAUUUUUUUCUAGACAUCUACGCAGUGAAAAUAAAUAAAUUAAAAUAAUUUUAACUUAUUCAUAUAUCAGAUCAAAUCUAAAAAUCAUAGUAAGGAUCUUAAUAUGAAUAUGUACCCAUGAUCUGAUAUCUGAAACAGAAAAAUAAAUUGUUAGAAAAUAAAACGGAGAUCGAAAUUCCAUACCUC